ensembl:lncRNA
CGGCACAGGACCACCAGUGUGUCUGCGACUGGCCUUGUGCAGGCUCAUGUGUGGACUACCUCUGGCAAACCUGAUGUGGGCCACCAAAGGGCCAUCAUUCUUUGCGGUAUGUGCACCAUGUGUCAGCACAUAGUAUGGGCCAGAUCCGGGCCAUACCAAUUUUGCUAUCUGGGAUCUUUUUCCUUCUGUACACUGAGCAGAAGAGGAGGAGGCAAUGCCUGCAAGACCAUUAAAAAACUGCCAUCAAAGUGAACCAGCACAGGACUCUCAGAUGACCUGCUACACAGCUUUGUUUUUAAAAUUACAAGGCAAAAGAACAUGGAGAACAAAGACAGUAGGAUGACAACUGAAUGGAACUCAACAAUGGAAAACAGAAAGCAAUCAGAUAGCAAACAAACAAGAACUGACAUGAAAACCCAAAAAGAAACUAUAAAAAGACAAAGGCAACUGAUAUGUCAAGUAAUGGAGGAGAUCGAACAACUCUGGAGACAGACAGAAAGAAAAAGAAAUGACAUUGACUUCUUAAAGACAAAGACAGAGGGGCAACAGGAAGACAUUGAGAGACUGACAUCUGAAAAAAACAAACAGCACCUACUAUUAAAGCAAUUUAACUUCCAAAUAAAAAAUAUAACUGAGAAACUCAAAGAAAGCAAAAAUUCAGUUGCUAACGAAAAAACAAACCUUCUGAAAAUGUGGACUAAAAUAUACCAAGAGAAGGAUACUCUGGACAGAAGACGUCAUUACUUCAUCAAUGAGCGACACAAGCUAGACACUAUAAAAGCUAGUAAGACAGAAUCACCAAUAAGGGAGGAACCCAAAGAGCUCCUUAAGCAGGUAAAGCAGGAACUGGAUAUACUGGAGAAUGCAACUGAGAAAAACAGGGAAAUAAUGGUUGAAGUAAAGAAAGUUAAAGAAAAAAUGGAGAAAACUAAAGCAAACAUACAGCAAGCAUUAAAAAGAAAUAAAGAGGACAUUUCAAAAAACAGUGAACAAAUUAACCACAUUAAACAUAUUAUGUAUGUAAAGAUCAACAUGGUCAAGCACAGAUGGGCAAGCAUUAUAAAACAGGCUGAAAUGAAGAAAAUUCACAUGUAUAAAGAAGGACAGAGAGAAAGAAAAGAUGGAAAAGCCACAUUUGACACAGUGAAGAGAAAAAUGUGUAGAAUCCAGGAAGAGAUGGAGAAACUUUGGGAUGUGCUGGAAGACAGUGAACAACAACUGGAAGUGACUCAAAGUGCAAAGCAGCAGCUAAUGGCAGAGAACAAUCCCGUGAACAUCAAGAUGAAUAUUGAUUAUCCAAAGCAACAAGCUUCAGAUCUAAGCUUGAAAGUGACACACAUCCAGUCUGAAAGAGAUGACUUAAAGAGAGUUAAAAUGAAACUAAAGACAGGAAGGGAAAAUGUAGAAAAAGACAAGCCAAAUACUUACAUGCAGAAUUUGAUCUCUGAGGAAGAAGAAAACAAUGAGGUGCUUUGUAUCAAGAGUGAAGAAACAAAGCAGAGCACGAGGGACUUUACAGAAGUAAAGGCUCAAACCAAAUGGACAAAUUUUCGAGAAAAGCAAAAAAGAAGGGAGCUUGAGCAUCUGCUCGAGAAGAUAAUGAAAGAGAGGGACGAGUUAGAAAUCAUGAAGAGAAAAAUACAGCGACAAAAGGAAGGGGUUGAACAAAAACUGGAAAAUACUGUCACUGAGAUGAAAGGUAAAAUAGAAAAAACUGGUGCAGAAAUUAACAACACUUGGGAGAAAAUGCGGAGAACCCAAAGGGAGAUGAGUAAGAACGAGGAAGAAGCCAAGAACUAUAUAGAAAACCUAACAACCAUGAAAACUUGGGUCAACAAAUGGAUAUCGACACAGUCUACAAUCAAAUAUACUUUUUCGGUGAAUGCAUCCAAACUUCAAGAAUCACAGAAAGAAAUAGACACAGACUCCCUCGAGGAUCAAACAUCAGCAAUUCCAAAGGACAAAAGGGGGACAGAAAAUAUAACAGAUACAACAUCAUUACAAAAUUCUGUAACAUUAGAUGAUCAGCAUCAAAAUAAAAAAAUUAAAGAACAACAGAAGGAGCAUUUUGAAUCCAAACAUUGUUUUGCAGAAGGCAAAAAUGGGGAGCAGGACUUUUGCUUACAGAUGCGAACUGAAAUUCAUGAAGAAGCAGUGCAUGAUAAAACUGAAUUACUGAUAAUUGUAAGAGAAAGGGAAGAAGUGGAAAAACUGAUAUGUAACCUAAAGCAGCAAGAGGGGGAAAUAAAGGAGCAAAUAAAGUACACUGUUGAUAACAUGAAAGAAAAAACUCAAGACAUCAAAAGGCUCAUUUUGGAAAUAAAUGACCUGCAGAGGGCAGACACUGUAAUUACAGUCGGUGAAACUGAAAAUGCCCAGGAAGUAUUAACUAAGCUGUUGGAAGAAACUGAACAGAGAAAGAUUUUGAUGGUGAACACCAAAGUUUUCAAAAAUGAAAUAAUGAAAUAUGAAGUACAAGAGGAGGACGAUGCCAAAAAAAUAAAACAAGAGUCUAGCUUGAUAAGACUUGAUAUUAACAAGCAAAAACAAAUUCAGAAAUCAGGAGAAGAGAUGAAAAAACAUGUUGAACACACAGAUGAAAAUAAAAAGGACAGAGGAGCCGAUGUACAAAGACUCAGGGCAGAGAUUUACAAAACACAAGAGAUUAUAAGAACGCUAAGAGGAGGACUUGAGAACCUAGUGGAAAAAAGUAACAUGGACAAAGAUCAAAAGAAUGAAGGCAGUGAAAUUGAAGGAUUGCUAAAAGACAUCAAACAGUUUCAAGAGUUUUUGGAAAUUGUAAAAGCCACAAUAAAGCAAAGUGAAGUACAUAUGACAGAAGAAAUGAGCAAUAUGAAAUCAAUUAAAACUGCAGUGAAAAAGAAGAGAAGAGAAUUAGAUCAAAGGUUAGAAAAUACUUCAAAAGAGAGAGACAGAUUAGACAUCUUUAAAAUAAAAAUGCAGAGGCAAACUGAACUGAUUCGGCAGAAUUUAGAAAAAAUGGCAAAAGUUAAGAGCACAAUCGAGAAAAUAGCCACUCAGACCAGAAGGAAAAUUGAAGAGAUAGAAAUUAGUAUGAAGGAGACUGAAAUAAAACUAAGACAGUUUAAAGACCUUGACUACAUUAACCUUAACAUAACAAAAGGCGCAAAACCAGACAUGGAACAUGGUACUACACCUAAGCAAAGAACUGCUCUUGAAAUUUUCAAGACUGAAAUUAGGAAGACAAUGGACAAUAAAAGAGAUAAACUGACAAAAACCAAAAUGGACAAAGAAACUGAGGGAACAGAAAUCCUCAAACAAGUUAAAGAGAAACUGGAUGAUGUAAGACUUUCAUUAGACAGUCUGGGUCAUAAAAAAAAAAAAUCAGUUAGUGAGACUGUGAAACAAAUAAUUAAGAGAGAAGAGACUGAGGUGACAGAACAGAUCCAAACAGCGAUAAAGAAUGAGAAAAUAGUUAAACAACUAGCUGAAACAGAAAUACAGGAUGAACAGAUGAACCAUUUGAGGGGGAAAACUGAAAGACACAAACAGGAGUUUGAUGACAGAGUACACAUGACAAAAAGGCAAAUAAGAGAAAUGGAGCUGCUACAAUCAGAAUUGAAAAUAAAGACAAAAGAACUGGAGCGUUUAUUUAGAAAAACCAUGAGAAAAAAGGAGGAAAUUGAAAUAAUGUGGAAUGAAAUGCAACGAGAAAAGGAAGCAUUGAGGACCGAGAUCAAAAAGAAAAGAAGAGAAUUAGACCAAAGACUGGAGAUAACUCUGAGAAAAAGGGAUGAACUAGAAAUGUUAAGGGUAAAAUUGAAACGACAGAUGGAAGAGCUGGCUGAGGAGAAGCAGAGAGACCAUAAUCUGUUCAUCCAUCUACCCAAUGAACAUGAAAAACAUUGGGAAAGCAAAGAUGCGAAAAUGUUCAUGGAGAAACUUAAAAACCACAGCUCAAAAGUUUCUCAUUAUAUUAUUUACAUCCAAAACAUAAGAGAAAGGGUUAAUUUACACAUGGGAACAAUUAGGACAGAGAUGAAAAUUCUAGAAAAUGUGAAUGCUCAUUUAGAAAAGGACAGGAAGGGAUUCAGAGAAGUUGAGGCUGAAAAUAAGAAUAUAACAAACAAAAUGAGGAGAUUAAAAUAUCAGCUUAAUAUAAUCUUUGAAAGAGUUAGCAUACAAGACACUGCAGAGAUGGAUGAAACAAUCAACAUGUGGGAAAAAAUCCAAAGACAAAAACAGAGGCUUGAUAUGAGACUAGAAAGUAUUAAAAGGGAAAGACAAGAGAUCGAAGCUCUGGUGGUUGAGCUGGAGAUGAAGAAAAGAGAAAACCAACGUGUAAUCAAAAGAAGCAUUCAAAAAGAACAGCAGAUAAAAAGAAUAUGGGUUACUUUCAAAGAAGAAAGAACUGCCCUCGUGAGAGAAACAAAGCAGAAAAAGGAGCUUGAACAACGACGAGAGGAGAUCAUCAAACAUCAAGGUGAACAAGAAAAAAAGCAGAAGUUGCAAAAAGGAAAGAAAGGGACGAAAAGUGAAAUUGAAGACAUGAGGAUGACAGAAAAAAGGAAGCAAAUUAAAAAGCAUUGGGAACUAAUCAACAAAUACUUAGGGGAAUAUAACAAGGUAAUUAAAAACACUCAAAUCAUCAUUGGAAUAAUUCAGAAUGAAAAUAAGCACAUGCAAGACCAAAAGAAUUUCUACAUGACCAGAAGAAAAGAAGUACUGAAUAUGAAAAGCGAGUUAGAUAGGCAAAAGGAAAUUAUAUGGUGCGCAUUAAAAAACAUAAAACAAGAGCGAAAACAUGGGGAACAAGUGGAGACAAAAAUCAAGACAGAGCAAGAAAAAAAUGAAAACGGAUGGAAAAAACAAUUUCAGAUAGAAAAAGAUGCCAUUGAUGACUUGAGUGCAGACAAGAGUCAAGACAAAGAAGAUGUUGAAAGAAUGACUGAGAUGUUGAAGAAGAACCAGAAACUUGACAUGAGAGGCUGUAAAGUCAAAAAAGAAAUUGACAUAUUAAAACAAAAAAAGGAAGACAUAAAAGAGGAAAAGAAAACCAGUGAAAUAAAAGAAAUGGGAAAAAAAAUAACGCAUAAGGAUGGUAUGAAAAGGGUUGUCUUACAAGACACAAAACAAGACUUCAUAAAAAAAGAGAUCAAAAAACGAAACCAGGGAAAACAAAAAGUCAACCAGAUGAGAACUAGACGUGAGAAUAGAAAAGAACUGUUGUUGAAGGAAAGGAGAAAUAUCAUAGAUGAGCAGAAAGAGAUGGAAAUGAGAGGAGACCAAAUCAUGAUAGAAAUGAAAUCACUAGAGAUUCUGAAAGUGAAACUUCGACAACUGAAGGAGCAUAUAAAAGCUAAAAUGGACAGAUUACUACAAAAUGCUGACAACAGGUCAAGGCUGCAAACAGUGUUGGAAGAAAAACUUACAACUCAAGACAAACAGAAAGAAAACAUUUGCUAUUUCACUGAAAUGUUAGAGAGGGAAAGGGAAGGUGUGAGAAGUAUCCUUUCAGACAUGAUCACCAAGAGAGAAUGCACAGAAAAAG